rnacentral:lncRNA from 1 species
UAUUGCAUUCAGUUUUCCACAGAAACCUAACGUGGAGAGAAGGUCAGCUAAUCACGAUAGUGGUGACUUCAAAGCCGGAAAAUUUGAUCAGUUGAGGACGCUAUCGCGCGAACGACUGGGGAAAAGGCAGGGCUUUGGCUGCAUGGGUUGCGGAACCGAACCCUGGUAGGAAGUGAGCACAAUUGGCAGCAGAAGAUAAGCUGACCAUGAAGUUUAACUUAGGAGCAGAAAUAAAUUAAUCAUCAAUUGGUGUGCUAGUUAGUUUGUUAGACGGGUAAUAUGAUAAAAAGACUGUAAACUGAAUGGAAACACACUGGUGGGUGUAAGAACCACACACAUUAAACUCUGAUCGUGAGUGAAUCUAAGCUUUACCUUUUGCUUUUCUCUUUUAAUGUUUCAAUGUCAUCUUGUUCGAGUUUUUAUCCUGUAUAUAUCUAUUUAUUAUAUGGUAAGGUAGUGUUUAGGAGAAUCCGGGCCUUCUGAUUGGUUCUGUCUUGGUGGGGAUUUUGCCAUACGGACCUUUUCAUGUAAACAGUCAUAAGCAAUGCAUUUUAUUUUUCGAAAGCGGCCAAAAGCAUGCUCCUGACUACCAGCUAGCUUGCUCGAGCCGUGUCGGGGAAUGUUAGCUCUCGUGAAAACAAACCUAACCGUUCUCCAAGGGACCUGUAUAAAGUGUAAAGUAAUUAGCCAAGUAGAA